rnacentral:rRNA from 1 species
CUUCCGUAGGGUGAACCUGCGGAAGGAUCAUUACCGAGUGAGGGCCCUCUGGGUCCAACCUCCCACCCGUGUUUAUUUACCUUGUUGCUUCGGCGGGCCCGCCUUAACUGGCCGCCGGGGGGCUCACGCCCCCGGGCCCGCGCCCGCCGAAGACACCCUCGAACUCUGUCUGAAGAUUGUAGUCUGAGUGAAAAUAUAAAUUAUUUAAAACUUUCAACAACGGAUCUCUUGGUUCCGGCAUCGAUGAAGAACGCAGCGAAAUGCGAUACGUAAUGUGAAUUGCAAAUUCAGUGAAUCAUCGAGUCUUUGAACGCACAUUGCGCCCCCUGGUAUUCCGGGGGGCAUGCCUGUCCGAGCGUCAUUGCUGCCCUCAAGCACGGCUUGUGUGUUGGGCCCCGUCCUCCGAUUCCGGGGGACGGGCCCGAAAGGCAGCGGCGGCACCGCGUCCGGUCCUCGAGCGUAUGGGGCUUUGUCACCCGCUCUGUAGGCCCGGCCGGCGCUUGCCGAUCAACCCAAAUUUUUAUCCAGGUGACCUCGGAU